rnacentral:tRNA from 1 species
UUUUUGGGGGAUAGAGGGACUUGAACCCUCACGAUUUUUAAAGUCGACGG